rnacentral:rRNA from 1 species
UUCGGCGCGAUUCGCCUUACGGCUCAGUAACACGUGGCUAAUCUGCCCUUGGGACCGGAACACCCCCGGGAAACUGGGGCUAAUUCUCGAUAGGUGAAGAACUCUGGAAUGAGUCUUUGCCAAAAAGACGUUUACGUUAUGCUCGUAGGCGUUGCCCAAGGAUGAGGCCGCGACCGAUCAGGUUGUUGGUGAGGUAAUGGCUCACCAAGCCUUUUACCGGUGCGGGCCGUGAGAGCGGGAGCCCGGAGAUGGGCACUGAGACAAGGGCCCAGGCCCUACGGGGCGCAGCAGGCGCGAAAACUUUACACUGCGCGAAAGCGCGAUAAGGGGACCUCGAGUGCGUGCGCAAUGCGUACGCUUUUCAGAUGCCUAAAAAGCAUGUGGAAUAAGGGCCGGGCAAGACCGGUGCCAGCCGCCGCGGUAACACCGGCGGCUCGAGUGGUAACCGUUAUUAUUGGGUCUAAAGGGUCUGUAGCCGGCCGGAUAAGUCUCUUGGGAAAUCUGGCAGCUUAACUGUCAGGCUUUCAGGAGAUACUGUCUGGCUCGAGGCCGGGAGAGGUGAGAGGUACUUCAGGGGUAGGGGUGAAAUCUUGUAAUCCUUGAAGGACCACCAGUGGCGAAGGCGUCUCACCAGAACGGACCUGACGGCAAGGGGACGAAAGCUAGGGGCACGAACCGGAUUAGAUACCCGGGUAGUCCUAGCCGUAAAACGAUACUCGCUAGGUGUCGCCACGGUGCGACCGUUGUCGUGCCGUAGGGAAGCCGUGAAGCGAGCCACCUUGGGAAGUACCGGCCGCCAAGGCUGAAACUUAAAGGAAUUUGACGGGGAAGCACCAACGGCUGAAUUCGUUUUAACCUGCGAGAACUAGUCCCCUUAGUUGAUGUUUA